GAAUUAAUGGUGAACAGGGUUAGCGCGUGGGACUUUUAAUCCCAAGGCUGUGAGUUCGACUCUCACGUCGGGCG